AAUAGAAAAUCAACCAUUUGUGGUCGGCUUUUUUUUUAAAACAAAAAAUAUAUUUUCAAAUUUUAAUAACAUAAUAAUAAAUUUUAAAAAUAUAUAUAUAUUUUAAAAAAAUCGACCAUAUGUGGUCGGUUUUUAAAAAGUUACCACUACUUAUCGAUCACACAGUUUAAUUGGUUUUGUGGUCAAAAAUUAGAGAAAAUUGAUCACUUAUGAUCGAUUUUUGUGGUCGAUUUUCCCCUUUUGUUUUUUUUAGUAGUGCAAGUAUUUUAGGACUGAAGUCUAGUGUUAACCAAACAUUAAAAAUAUCAUUAUCUCCAUUUAUCAGUAUAGACACCAACUCUCUACCCCUUCUCCUCACCAAUAUCCUAACCCUAGAAAUACGGUGAUGCUGCGAUCGACCUCCAAGAAACCGCCACGCUCAUCCCCAACGUUUUUGAAGAGCACAUUGUACCAAAGAUGCAGAGGCAAACCAAUAAUGUUCACCCCAGUAUUCUUCCUUCACCUUAACACGUCUAGAGCUUUUUCCUUCGACCAUCUAUGGAGCCUAAGAAGAUUGUCAUCCAUCCAUUUCUUGCCUUCCAAUAGCCCUCGAUCUGUCUCGGCCUCACUAGCAAAUCUUUACAAGAAAGUAGAGUCUCCCAUAGAAGACACUUUAAUCAAUGGAUAAGCUUUCCAAACCUUUGUUUCCCACAUACAGACAGGAUCCUUAAGUCACCUUCUUUUCAGAUCUUUCGAUCAAAUAUGAAUUUGGGAACUAUUUUUUUUCCCUAAUGUAACCGUUCGAUAACCUGAACCUCGGCUCACCUAAUCCUCUUAAUCUUCUAUAGCCAUCAUCCAGUGUGAGGGCUGGGGAAGAAAGAGCCUAUUUGUAGCAAAUUGUGUUAGGUGAUUUCUUCCCAUCUGUUCUAGCCUUGGUAGACAGAGUACCUUAUACUUGUUGCUAAGGUGGCAGGUAUUCCACAGAAUUAGUUGAGGUGUGCUCAAGCUAGUUGAGGUGUGCUCAAUAAGUCGCAUUUCAGCAAAAAGCAAGAGAGAACUUCUUUCAUUGAAAUAUAAGGUUUCAGCUUCCCUUCAACGAGCUGAAGAUAUUGGAGAUAUCUCUUCCAUUUAACUCUAAGGUCUCAACAUUCCCUUAACGAGCUGAAUUUAUAUUUAUAGCCCCGAGAUUAUUCCCUAAAUAUCCUAACAGUCUAGUACUGAGUCUUAUAGUUAUUUGAGAAACUGUUUUGUAAUGCCUUCUACUGUACUUAAGCAUAGAAUUCGUCUAUUGUCAGCAAGAGAAAGUUUAGUUUGCCCACUUGUUUAUUUCAAUCAAGUAGUGUUGUUGCUGGUGUAACUUAAUUAGAUAUUGAUCGAAGGUAAGAAGAAUACAUCAUAUUGUGCAAAUUGAAGAAGGAUGGCUUAGAUUUCCCUUUCAGUCGAGGUUUGGUGCAUUGAGCCAAAGCUAUGAGAUCUUGGAAUCUCGGUGCUCCUUUCUUAUAAGUGUAUUGACAACUUAAGUGCAAUUUUUGCCUAUGGCUUGAGAAUCACACAAGGAAAUCUCUCUUCACACCUUUUAAACUGCGAUGUAAUAUGUUUUAUGUUUUCACAUCUAUUGCAGAAGCACGUAAGUUUGAAGAACUUCUAUGUGCAAAAUCACUAGGGAUAAAUGGGUGGGUAACUUUCAAGACAAGCUUUUUCACCCAAACAUCAACAGCAAUGGUAGCUACUGCCUAGAAAUUUUGAAGGAACAGUCGAGCCCUGCACUUUCAAUCUCCCAAGUAUUGCUCUCUAUCUGUUCUCCACUGAAAGACCUUAAUCCUGAUGACCCUUUGGUACCGGAGAUUGCUCAUACGUAUAAAACUGAUAGAAGCAAAUAUGAGACAACCGCUCGGAGUUGGACUCAAAAAUUUGCAAUGGGUUAGUUGUUGUGACCAUCUCUGAAAGGGCUACUUUUAUUCUGUGGUAUUUUGUACUAUGUAUUAUGUAUUAAGAAAUUGUGUUCUUAUGCAUAACUAACUCAAGGGGAAAAGUUGAACAGUGUCCUUCCUGAAACAGUUUGAGUUGUUCGUUGUUUGCGAGAAUCUAAUGGUGUUGAAACUA